GUCGAACGAGACCUUCGGGUCUAGUGGCGCACGGGUGCGUAACGCGUGGGAAUCUGCCCUUGGGUUCGGAAUAACUCGCCGAAAGGCGUGCUAAUACCGGAUGAUGUCGAAAGACCAAAGAUUUAUCGCCCAGGGAUGAGCCCGCGUAAGAUUAGCUAGUUGGUGAGGUAAAGGCUCACCAAGGCGACGAUCUUUAGCUGGUCUGAGAGGAUGAUCAGCCACACUGGGACUGAGACACGGCCCAGACUCCUACGGGAGGCAGCAGUGGGGAAUAUUGGACAAUGGGCGAAAGGCCUGAUCCAGCAAUGCCGCGUGAGUGAUGAAGGCCUUAGGGUUGUAAAGCUCUUUUACCCGGGAUGAUAAUGACAGUACCGGGAGAAUAAGCUCCGGCUAACUCCGUGCCAGCAGCCGCGGUAAUACGGAGGGAGCUAGCGUUGUUCGGAAUUACUGGGCGUAAAGCGCACGUAGGCGGCUUUGUAAGUCAGAGGUGAAAGCCUGGAGCUCACUCCAGAACUGCCUUUGAGACUGCAUCGCUUGAAUCCAGGAGAGGUGAGUGGAAUUCCGAGUGUAGAGGUGAAAUUCGUAGAUAUUCGGAAGAACACCAGUGGCGAAGGCGGCUCACU
rnacentral:rRNA from 1 species